GCCCCUUGAUUGGGCAAACUUCAAACAAGGUGACUGAGCUCCCUUAGCUGCCACUGACUGGCUCAGGAUGGACCACAAAUGUAGGAGGAGUUAAUCUGGAUCUAGCCUGAGCCAGUCAGACGUCCCCCUUGAAACCAUGCCUCUAGAAAUACAAAAAAUGGAAGUCAGAGGGUGAUGGAUCCUUGAAGUAACAGGUCGGCUCUGUGGAAGUUUGAGUGACUCAUUGCAGAGAGGAAUUGAUGAAGUCAACAGCUGCUGGAAAAACUUCUUUUUCCUUAAUAGCUGUAUCAACAUGUGGUUGCUAUUAUUCAAGUAAGAAAAAUAUGUAUAUCAAACAUCCAUGGUAGUCCUUGCUAAAUUUUCAUUAGAGAAACUCAUGUUUUGACAUUAACAAAAGUUCAAACGGGUACCUUCGAGGAUGUUUUGUUGGAGAACAAAAUCAUGGAGAAAUAAAGUCUAUAAAGAAAAACAAAUGGCAAGCAUGUUGUUAA